UCAAGUUUGGCAUGUGUUUUAACACAUGUGAAGGUGUAGUCUUUUCUUCUUCAGCGGAUAUUUGUACAAGACCCCGUUCACCGUCUAUCAGCUCUAGCUCGGCAAGAAUAAAGCGGUUCCUUAGAAGUGGUGGAGGUGCUGGGGUUCUGCAUACCAAGGACGUAUAAGUGAAGGUGACUUAAACCGACAACAGCCGAGAAGGUGCAAACAGCACUGCGCUGCCUGGUUCUUGCUGUUGGCCUUUUGUUCUUUUCACAGUGUCCUUACUGUAAGUGCACUCCAGAGUUGCAAUGCAGGAAUAUGCAUGUGUGCAUAAGCUUUCAUUCAAGAGUAACUCAUGAUCAUAAGUUACGUCAUCAUGGUUUCGUACCAUGUCACGGCAUCAUAAGUGAGACAUAAUAAAGAAGCCCUCAAAGUCUGCGGGAGAGACUAUAAUCUUUUGUGCGAGAUUGUGCUAUCCUUGCUGCACGCAGUGCAAUAUUAUAUGACUCUCAUUUCUAUGGUGGCAUUGUCGAUUAUGAAUGUUUCCUUACUGCGUUAAAAAAAUGUGAGUGCAUCUUUCAGAUAAUAAUGGCAUUAUAGCUUCAGAGUUGUUCAAGUUUGGGGUACUUGUUCACUAAAAGUACAUUAUCAGAAAAGCUUUAGAAUGUCUAGGUCAUAAUUGCAUUUGAAGAACUAAGUCUUCCUACACAUAGCAAUUGGUAGCUUACUGUGUAAUGUUGAAGGUGGUUUUUAUUCAUAGGCCCUAUGCAGAGAGCAGCAACACAAUGCCUGGCAUGUGACCAGGGUUCGUCACAGUGUUUGCAUUUCCAGUGCUCGUAACUGAUUCCAAGCAUAAAUUUGCUUUAUGAAUUCUUUGUAGACAGAAGGUGCUUGAAUAUUGGUUGCAUGAAAUGCUCCAAUGCACACUGUAUAUGUACAGGGUGUCUUUUAUUACCAUACAGAUUUUCUUGUUUUAAAGUUAUGAGCGCAGCAAAUGUGGCAUUCUUGCAGAGGAAUUCCUCUAUUUUGGAACUCCACAAAUUUGGAGGCAGUCACAUUUUAUAGCACUCUCAUUUCUUACAAAUCUUGAAAGUUGCACCUAAUUCAAGAUAUUCAUCAUUGAAUUUCACUGGUAAAUCGAGGCAAUAUUGGAACCGAGUGUGCUGGGAGCGCAGAAAAGAAGGUCCCGCUACCUCAUCAGAUGGAAACACCCCCGACAACAAGCUCGAGAAAGUCUGAAACAACAUCUUGGCCAGUCAUUGUAGCAGCUGAUACGACACACUUUGCCUGGCAAGCAUGUGCAUCAGUGUGUCGUGUCAGGCUAUCAUUUAAGCUUUGUCCCACACUUCUUGACAGGGCACUGCCGCCUGAUGUGGAGCAGGAUGCACCAAGUUUUGAUUGUACUCAAUUGAGCGCGAUAAUGAAUAUUUCAAAAUAAGUGCAAUUUUCGAGAUUUCGAAAAAGAAAGGGUGUGCGUUCACAUGUGACUGCCUCCAAAUAUGCCAUUUAGAAGGCUGCCUCGAAGUUACUAAUAAAAAAGUGACUGAAUUUUUCAAAAUUAAUUUUCUGAAACUCGCAUUAGCAGCAAAGUGUGUCCUCCUCACCUAGAAACUCCUUUGCAAGAACGACAGGCUCUCUGUGCUCAAAACUUUUUGCUAAAUAUCUGCAUGGUUAAAAAAAAAAAACUAGAUAUGCAUAAUUGUUAAUGUAUGAAAAUCGUACACUAUCACUUUUCAAAAUUUUUGUCCUAUGCAACACCAGAAAAAUUGGAAAUAGAAGCUUCAGGUGACCUAUCUGAUGUGCAAGUUGCAUGGCCAUAUUAUUGUUUUAAUUUUUCGCUAUUACCUUUUACUGUGAUGUCGCCACUGCAGCAGCUCGAUGGCUGUGGCUUUUCAUUCCAGGUCACAAAGCUGCACCCAGGUAGAGGCAGAAUCCAAAAAUGCUUGUGUACUUAAGUAUAGCUGCACAUUACAGAAUCCGAGGCCCUCAAGAUUUAUCCAUAGCCCUCGUGUAGCCCACGAGUUCCAUAUUUUUUAUUGGGAUUGAAGAGUAACGUUUGUGCUGUAUCCUUCUAUUUCAGACUAAAUAAUGUGCAUGCAAAAUUAUAUCUUCAUUACUUUACACCAUUGCACCAAUAUCUGUUGUGCGUUGAUUUUCUGAUGUCCUUGCAUUUGCUAUAGCAAGGAUUUUUAAAAAUCAGCCACAAAAGAAAAAAUAAAUGGUCAAGGAACGAAGUGGUGUGUAGCAGCUCCCUUUUUUUUUUAAUCGGCAGCAAGUUUUGCACUCGUGUGUUAGCAACACUGUUUCGCCAGUUGUGUACUUCAAAAGAAGUGUUAUCUUUCUGCUUUGGAACUUUGUGGUUUUCUUCUGCCAGCUGCUUGACCAACACAAGCAAAAUGUACUUUGGAUAUUCCACAAAUUCAUUCUGUAUGCAUUUGGUACAAUAAAAUUUGUUUCAAGAAUGGACAAA